CUUGUACAAACCUUUGUAUAAUUUUUGCAUAAUAAUAAAAAAAAUACUGCCCACAAAUCUGUUUUUAGAACAGUAAAAGCUUUUUUUUACUGUAGUCACAAUGUUAUAAUGAGUCACAUUUAAUAAUAAAAAACACUGAUAAAGGCUUAUUGGUAUUUAAAUAGUACAUGUUUAUGUUGAACUUUAUUCUUGAACAGAUGGCCCUGUAUUAAGCAGUAUAUAAAAAGUGUUUCUGUUGCUCAUGAAAACAUUUCUAAAACAUCCGUGCAUUUGACAAAUAUAGCAUGUACCUUUUUCUUCAACGCGGAAGUAAGCCUAUGGGUGAGACUUCCGGUUCAUUAGCCGCUAUAGGUAAAUAACGAGAAGAAUAACAACAUACAGUAAACGGUAAAACUGUUUGCACUACAAACCAGUGUGUUCAUAAUUAAGAUAAUACAUUAAAAUAAUAUGAUAAGACACACUAAUUUUCAAUAUAAAGCAGCAAAACGAACUGUUUUGUACAACUAAAAAUAGCUGGACGCGGAUGAGACCGGAAGCUAGACCCAUAAAAUUUACAAAUGGCCGCGCCCAUUUUUACGUCAAGAAAAAGGUGGAUUCACUUCAUCUGUGAGAAGAGUAUGCAAACACCGCGAGAGCAUCACUAUCGGGAGCAGAAAGUGUCCGACUUUACGUCUCCGCUUUCAAUUCCGCCCCCGACUGCAAGCGGCUAUUCUCGCCUAUAGGUCUGUGCGGCGCUGCAUGAAGUCGAACACACCUAUAAUUACGUUUUGAAAUCAAGCGCCCUCUAGCAAUUACGACAGUCUCGUUUGUCUGGUGUGUCGUCAUCAAAUGACCUUUGACUGUCGUUACCAUCGUUACUAAUUAAAAAAGGAGUGACCCAACAAUUCACCGUAAGUCGAUGUCCAGUUUCUUCAGAUCUCCAUGUCCUACAACAACCUUUAGUGUCCAACAGCUGUUUAUCAACAGCUCUCUCUCUCUCUAUCUCUCUCUCUCUCUCUGUCAGCUUUUCCUUGCCUAUUUUUCUGAACUGUUAUUCAUAAUUAAUUUACACAUUUUUGCUCUCUUUCUUCCUUUCUCUUUUUCAUCAUGGCGCAUUUUCAAAGCUCAGAAUCGAAUUUUGAUCGGUUAUGUCAAAAAGCUGCUGAUAUUAACAGCUAAAAAGGAAGACCAAAGGAAGGCCUGUCGAACUCUUGUCUUGUUUGUGGAGAGGGAUGAAUUUGGCCAUCUUGUGUGUUUACGGAGAAGACCAAAAGCUGCAAAGACAAACAUUUCCAAUGGUAGAAACAGAGAGUUUGCAUGAUGGCCUUUUUCAGUUUUGUCAACUGAACAGCUACUAAUGAGGGUCAGCAAGUUCUUCUCAUGAUGAGCCCUCGCCAGGUAAGCCAAAAUGGAAGACCAAAAACACAAAGAAAAUCAAUCACAGCAAGCCAGUUAAACCAGUCCUGUUGGGAAUGAACAUGGUCUUCUUGUGCCCAAACAGAGAAGACGGAGAACUGAAAAUUUGCACAUUUCCAUUGCUCCUAGAAUGAGCAAAUCAGCUGUGCAUCAUCUCUGGAAUUUGGGAAGGAAAUUACAGAAUAUGGAGGAUGAAGCCAGUUGAUGAAGAUAUCAAUUCAGUGGCCACCAAGUGCUGCAUUGCUGCCUGAACCCAUCAGGUAUCUGCUGUGAAGACUGCAUUCCUGAACAGAUCUACUGCGACAGCUCAGAUGUUACGGCCCAUAAAAGAAACUUCACAACUGAACAACUGCAAGAUAGUGGUGGAGAGAUUUUUUUUUUUAGCCCAUACUUCCAACAACAUUCAACAGGAAUCAAUGGAAAGUCCAGUGCAACAAUUAUAAAUAAUAUUAUAUAUUGUUUAUUGAUUUACAGCACCCUAAAUGAUUUUGUUCCUCCAGGACAUCUACACCAGGUGGUUUGUGAAGAAAGCACGGAGGACCAUCAGACUCCAGCCACCCCAACCAUGGACUGCUUUCACCAUUACCAUCAGCAGUACCCGCACCAGCAGAUUGCGAGACAAGUUCUUUCCACAAGCAAUCAGACUGAACUGAACUCGUACCAGUAACACCACACACACCCCACCAACCUCUUAUGUACUGCAGUCCAUCACUUACACUGACUGGACUCUGACUCACUAUUAUUCUGCACCCUGACAUUCUGUUUGCACUAAUUCAUACCGUACUGCACUGCAAAGGUAUAUGUGUACAGUGAUUAUUUUGUUUAUUAUUAUUUUCAUUUCGUGCUCUGUAUAGUAUAAUAUUUACCAUAUAUUGUUCUCUACAUGUAUGUGUAUAUAUUAGUGGUGGGCCGUUAUCGGCGUUAACGUGCUGCGUUAACGUGAGACUCUUAUCGGGCGACAAAAAAAAUAUCUCCGUUAAUCUAUUCUCAAAGUUGGGUUGGGAGCUGGGUCUAUACUACGCAAGCUAUGAUGACUUUCACCUGAUAUUUUAGCGCGGAUGUAUACCUAGCCGAAUUGCACUGUAGGGGGCUAGAACGAGUCUUCGAACCUGUGUGUAUGCGUGCUAACAUGGAUGCAGCUAUGAAGCCGCUGGGUUUGCUUCAGGGAAAAUUUAUUUUAAGAAGCUUCCCAAUGGAAAUCUCAGUGUUUCCCCUACCAUUAUUUUAGGGGGGCGGCCCGCCCCCCUUGAAGGUCAAGUUGAUUUUAUUUAAUUUUAUUUUCUCUAUAGCGCCAGACCACAAAAGAAGUCAUUCAAUGUUACCUUCCCUAUAGAACAGGUGUAUACCUUGUUCUUUUAUUAAACAAACUAAAUAGCCUUAUGUUAUUUAUCUUAUUUACACGACGGCGUGUCAUUUCUGUCUCUACUUUACAUGGUAGCGCUCUCUGUAUCGCGCGCACAGCGGAGUUCCGCCCCGGUUCGCGCACACACAUACACACACACAAACAAACGUAAGCGCACACACUCCCACUCCUAUUUGUAAAUAUUAAGCCGCAAAACGUCUAUUUAAAUAUGACUUCUGCGUGUCUCUGUGUUAAUGUAUGGCGCAGACGCGCGGGUUUGUUUACUCAUACAGAAGCGCGCGUGACUCUUGCGGUGAUAUUAACGUCUGUCCUCUCACUAAAUGAGGACAUAAAUACAUGAACAACAUCUCCAGAACUGCUCUGAGAGUUACUUCAUGAGCAUUCGAGCGUUUCAUUUGAGAAAAACUAUCCUCAUAUCAUAUACACAGAAAUGUAAAGGUAUUCAAGGCAACCCGUCAAAAUAAAAGUUCGGUUUCACUUGAAGACAUUGGGCAGAACGUAAUAGACUACUACUACUAAAACUAUUAAAACCUUAUCUUUAAGGAAUAAUCAUACAAUGUCUUCAAUGUUAUUAUCAAUAUUAAAUCCCCUUUAUUUUUAUGUCGGGAAAAAACGCAAAAGCCUUUAGGUAGGCUACCUUAUGUAAUUUUAAAUUACAUAAUUUAAUUUAAUUAAUUAGCCUAUUAAUUACCACGACACCACGAAUUACCACCAUAUUAUGUUUGCUUCUUGAUGAAUGCUAGUUGUUUACUACUAGUAGUGAACUUAUUCUGAUCUACUUGACAGAAUUCAAAUGAGCCAUUUUAAUCUAGAUUAAUUCCAAGAUUACAGUGAGAUUAAUCUAGAUUAAAAAAAUUAAUCUAUGCCCACCACUAGUGUGUAUAUAUAUAUAUAUAUAUAUAUAGCUUUAACUACAUAUGUUGAAUAUAUAUUCUAUAUGUGUCAUUCAUAAUGUUAUGCUGCAGUUUGCACAAAAGACUUUCACCACCUGUACGUGUUCAUGGUAUUGUGACAAUAAAGUGAUUUGUUUUGAAUUGGUCACAUUUCUUUUGUUCAUCAGUUGUACUGUACAGUACUGUUGUACUGCAAAUUGUUCAUGACAUUGAAGAAGAAGAUUAUGAUAGGGACAUGGACAAGCAAGCAAGAGGAAGAAAACCAGGAGAGAUCUGAUGAGAAGGAAACUGAAUGUGAUUCUAUGAUGCUCAAGACAUUUCACCAUGCAUGCAUUUGGGUGGCUUCAUCUGAUUAUCUGAUUAAUAUAAUAUGGUUUUAAA